rnacentral:rRNA from 1 species
CGUGUAGGCGGCCAGACAGGUCCGUUGUGAAAACUGGAGGCUCAACCUCCAGCUGUCGAUGGAAACCGUUUGGCUAGAGUCCGGAAGAGGAGAAUGGAAUUCCCGGUGUAGCGGUGAAAUGCGCAGAUAUCGGGAAGAACACCCGUGGCGAAGGCGGUUCUCUGGGACGGUACUGACGCUGAGACGCGAAAGCGUGGGGAGCGAACA